rnacentral:rRNA from 1 species
GUCUACGGCCAUACCACCCUGAACACACCUGAUCCCAUCUGAUCUCAGAAGCUAAGCAGGGUCGGGCCUGGUUAGUACCUGGAUGGCAGAAUUAAGUUCCCAGGGUCAUCUUGGAGAAGUGGAAA